GAUGAAGAACGCAGCGAAAUGCGAUACGUAGUGUGAAUUGCAGAAUUCAGUGAAUCAUCGAAUCUUUGAACGCACAUUGCGCCCUUUGGUAUUCCAAAGGGCAUGCCUGUUCGAGCGUCAUUUGUACCCUCAAGCUUUGCUUGGUGUUGGGCGUCUUGUCUCUAGCUUUGCUGGAGACUCGCCUUAAAGUAAUUGGCAGCCGGCCUACUGGUUUCGGAGCGCAGCACAAGUCGCACUCUCUAUCAGCAAAGGUCUAGCAUCCAUUAAGCCUUUUUUUUCAACUUUUGACCUCGGAUCGGGUAGGGAUACCCGCUGAACUUAAGCAUAUCAAUAAGCGGAGGA
rnacentral:misc_RNA from 1 species